CCCUCAGGGGAAUUGCGGCACCGGGCGAGGGGACAGAGCGCAGCCCUCGGGAAAUGAGGCACAGAGGCCACCGCGACCCCAGAGCGGGCGGGCCGGGGAAGCGCCCCGCUGGAGACGUGCCCAGGGUGCGGUCCCGAGCGAUUUCGCUUCCGCGCCUCCCCGGUCUCUUCCCUCCUGAGCCCUGCACGGAAACUCCCGCUCCGUCCCGUCCCGCAGGCUGUCCGGGGAAUCUCCUCCCUACGCGUCAGUGAAUGAGGAGCCUCCCCGGUGUCUUCCCCUUGGCUCCUGCACGGAAACUCCCGCGCCGUUGUGUCCCGUUCCGCUGUGCGGGAAUCCCCUCUUUCGGCGUCAGUGCGGGUCCCCGAGCACCCGCAGCGCCGGCCGGGCGCGGGGUGACCGUCCCGGGGCCGCCACCACGAAAGCCGCGGGCGGCGAAGGCGGGCGGCUGGCGGGGCACGGCCGGGCCGCCAGGGGGCGCGGCGGGGCCGGGCCCGGCCGCUGAGGGCGCCUCAGGGCGGCGGCCGGCAGAGGGGAGCGCCGCGGCCGUGCCUGCCCUCGGAAAGGCUACGGCCCUUCCAGCUGCAACAGGCGAAUUUACCUCGGGUACACACUGAGAAACGGGGGCUUCACUCUCUCAAACGUGCGCAGACCCAUUCCUUUUUUGUUUCCAAGACCACCAGUCCAGUUGCCCUGAAUCUGUUCACAGUAAUCCACCAUAAUCACGACAGCUCCAUCAUCCUAUAUGUAAUGGGUUUAAUUUGUAUCCAUUAUUAUGGCAUCCAAGUAGUCCUCAAUAUUCAUUUCUCAGCAGUUUGAAGAGAGGUAGAAGUGCUUCCAUUCCCAUGUCACAGGUGGGAAGUUAAGGCACAGGCAAAUGAAAUGCCAUGUCUGUAGCUACACAAUAUGUAAAAUAAUACAUACUUUUUACACAUGUAAAAAAUCAUAUCCUGAAGCCCAAAACCAUGUACUGAAUUCCUCUACUCCUCUGUCUGUUGAGAGUUUUACAUAUAGCAAUAAAAAAGUUUAAUGUGUUUAUUUGUAAAAAAAUGUAACUCCUAAGCCACAAACAUUAUCAAAAUACAUUCAUUUUGAAUUUAAUUUCUAGAUUCUUGUUGCUGCAAUUCAAGUUCAAUGCUUGAUCUCAGGUAGUACAUCAAAAUAAUGGUCAGAGAACCUGAAUGUCAACACCUGGUUAGCUCAUAGCGAACAGAAGGAACAGCAGUGGGAAUGCAGAAGACAGUAGCAUGUUCUCAUGUACAGGAGAUUUACUCCCUGUGCACAGCACACAUCUGAAACAUAACUCCAGUGGCAGAAACUCAAGGAAGAUGUCAUGGAUAUUUUAUUCAGAAACUUCUGAACACAUCCCAGUUCUAAUCAUCUGGCUCUUUGUUUUCAGGACGUUAUCACCUGAAAUCUCAUUUCUUUAUUUUCAUUCUCUUGUCCAGAGCAAUUUGUUAAACACAGAGCAAUUUCUCAUCAGAUAUCUCCAAAGUAUUUCCUCUUAAACCAAUCUGUCUAAAGUUCUCCCUACAGCCAAGAAACCACGUACCUUCACAAGUAUUCUAGGUGUGUCUGCAGGCAGCCAAACCAGUAGGCCUGCAGCUGAAAUUCCUUAAAAAAGCCAAACCACAAAACCCAAACAAAAAAAAAACCAAGAAGGAUUUAGUUCAUUACUGUCUUUGUCUGUACAGUAAUGUGAAGGGAUGGGUGUAGGAGCAGUGCUGUCUCGAGAGGCUAAUGCUGAGUACAAAUAAGCUACCAGUUGACUAAAAGCUAAAGAACAGUUUUUCUCAAAAACCAAACUGUUUUUCAGCUUUAUCAUACAGUUCCUCCCUCUUUUCUAAUCCACUGUAAGGAUCUAAACAUGAACAGUGUAUCCCACAGAGCAUGGCAUGAAUAACCAAAAACGUAUGAAGAGUUAUGAUAGUAAGGAUAGUACAUCACCAUAAAUGAUAUAGCUGUUACAAUACUAUAGGUGUGAGUAAUUUAAAAGUAUAUCGUGUAAGUGUGACAUGAUCUUGCAUUAUUCUCUACUAAUCCACUUUACUUUUGGUUACGUGGGGGUUUGUUUUGAUCCUUUUUUAUAUUACCUGAUCUUAAUAUUUUAUUCUGCUUAGAAAAAUGGAAAUUGUUGGCGAUUGCUGAUUCCAUAAAUAGAGCAGCCUAUGAAAAUAAUGGAGGAGUUAAGGAAAUUCAAGUCUUCAGUGUUGCUGGGGAGAUAUCCAUCUUCUCUCAUCACAUUUAUAAAGGCACAACUAUUUUGUCUUUUAAUGUUUCAGAUUAGAGAAAGUACAUGGUUCUCAUGCACUGAGAAUAAUUUAUAUGGGAAAGAGAAACUAGAAACUAAACCAAGGGAGAGUGGAAAGAUAGGCACCAAUGGGACUAAAUAUACAUUAUUAUCAUUACAGAGAGGCACCUUGUAUUUUCUCAUUCUUAAAUGGCACUAGGGUGUGGUGACUGGAACAAUGUCCAAGUAUUAGGACAGAGGCAGUUUUAGUACCUGAAGUUUAUGUACAAAAUACCUAUCAGAUUACAGUGCAAAAAGAAACAUAAGAGCUGUGUGUAGUAUACGGUAAGCUGACAUUUGAAUGACAUCAGUGACUCUGAAAAUUUUGCAAUGGAAACCAGGACAUUUUUUCCUUGCUUUCUUUUGUGAUUGUUACUUUAUUAUUACUAGCUGUUGCUAAUUAUCAGAUGCCUACAUAACUUGCUUCAAUACCUGCAACCUAAUUUAAGGAAUGAGGGAUAUAUUUGCAGUAAUUAUAGCAUAAACUAUGAGCAAACUAGAGAUUCCAGAAUAGCUGUAAUGCGUAACACUGGAUGAUUGCUUUAAAACAUCACAGCUUCCAGGUUUCAGCAGCAUAAUUGAAGCCGAAUGCCACAGGAUGCAAACAUUGAUUACUUCCCUCCACCCCCUCAGCUUUCUGCCAUUAUUAGACAUCUCAAAAAAGAAGCUUUAUGAUUAAGUCUUUGUACUACUAAAAAAAAAUAAACCACACACAGACAAAUCUGUAGGAAAUUAAGGAACUGGAAAUGGCAUCUAUUCUAGUUAUGUGAUAGAAUAGGUGGAUGAUUAUAAAAGUGAGCUUAGAAGUGCAUUCAGCAUUAUUGGAACAGAACAAUGUGACUACAAUGCAUUUUCAUGACAAUGACAUGCCUACUCAGUCUGAAUUUGUGAUGAACAUACCAUAUUCCUGUGUUCUUCUUCAAGUCUCCAUGCAAUAGAUCACUCAAGUAAUAUUAAUCAGAUGUUCUAUUUUUAUAUGGAUGCCACCAAACUGCUUCUUUCAAGAACCUGAAAAAUGGGGUGAACUUAGCCAUAACUUGGUCCUUUCUGAUAACUGAAACAAUUCCAAUGUCUGAAACUGAACACAGCACUGAAACAAUUCCAAAAGCCUAAUGUACACUGCAGUUUGAGAAUUGUUAUAUCUUUCUUUCCUGCCGUUGAUUAAUAUAGUUAAUUUCCUGCUUUGCUAGUGCUGAUUGUUUCAAUCCAUUGAACAAAGACAAGGAAUUUAGCAUUUGCUGGUACAAGUGGAACCAUCAGUGCCACCAUCACUGUUGGAACCAUUGGCAAGAACCGUGGCUGAACACAGACUGCAGGCUUUAACCAUCUAUAACAGAACAUGCUGAUGGAUACAUUCAGUCCCUUUAUUUUUCUAGGAUGAACUGUCUCCUAUAACUUCAUCAUUUUGUGAUCUGCUUUCAAAACACACAAAUACUGAUGAAGCUCUGUUUUUGUGAAAUAAAGUCUAAAGAGGUGUCAGACUCAGAGGUUAGACAUAAAGAAAAACUCUCCACGUCUUUCAGGGUUUCACUUUAAACACUACUUUUUCAAGGACUAGUGUCUACAGUCUCACAGGUGUCAAGAAAAAUACAUUUCUUCUUCUUAAAAAGUAUCUGGGUCUUCUGUGUUUAAAAGCCUUUGAAACCUCUCCUCGCUGUCUGCAUAAGAGCACCUCUGUCGUGAGGACCCAGAAAACCUUGUCACCAUGGCACAAGCGUGAGGAAGUUUGAUCCAGGCAAGAAGACAGAGAUCAGCAGCACAACCAUAAGGUGCCUUCCUGCCACAUCCUAAGUGUUCUUCCAUAGAACCAGCAUGCUUCUAGAAUAUUCAUAAAAUCAAUGCCAACAUUAGCAAUACUUCUUGGGAGGCCAAGUCUUCAUAUGUAACAGUUGCUUUGUGAAUUUGGCUAAUGCAGAAGAAAUUAGCACAUAGCCUCUACAAUUUAAAGAUUGUACUUGUUUUGUGGAAGAAACCGACAAAUGCCCUUUGGGCAAAAAGAGAAGAUGGUUCUAUUUCCAGAGAGGAAAAACCUCAUGGCUCCUUAAGACUUUCUGUCAUAUUUGAUAAUUCACUGUUAGACACAGAACCAGAAAGCAGAAGCCUCUCUCCCACACAAUGGGUUCCUAUGGUCUGGGUUCUAGAGAGAGGAGGAAUUGUGUCUGGAAAGAUUUGUGAAAUCGUGUGAGGGUAUAAAACAUUCUGUUUCCCAGGUGAAAGAUUUUCUGAGUGGGUAACAGAUCUUACCAGUACUAUCUGUGAUGUUGAUUUGACUUCUGCAAUGGAUUUUGUGCCUCCACCUGCAAGGACUCAAGCAGCAACAACUGCUUGAGAAAUAAUAGGAAUAUCAUGAAACACCUCCACCCCCAUAAUUAUCAAUCAUUAGUCCUCGAUAGGAGCAUCAGGGUCGUGUGCUCAGUCUGACAAAGCAGACUGUGAUCCAUUUAACCACUUUGGCUUUCACCUCCAGGCAAGGCCUCAAGCAGUAGGGGCUUUUUCUUCAGCUACUCACAGAAAGUUUAUCAUUUUUAGAUAAAAUGCAAUUUUCUGAGCUACUCAGUGUGGUUGGGUACUACAGAGCCCAUAGUUUUCUCCCAGUGUGCAACCAGACACCAGGUUUCUCUCAGGGGAGGAGCUGUGCAGUGACCUGGGUUGCUCUGCCCCUCAGUGUGC